UUGUUAAGGUAGCAUAGUAAUUUGUUUUUUAAUUGAAAAAUAGAAUGAAAGGUAUCUCAGACUUUGUUGGUUUUUAUUAUAUGUCAAACUUUUAAUUUUAGUGAAAAUACUAAAAGUAUACUUUUAGACUAAAAGACCCUAUGAAGCUGACUAAUAUUAUAUUAUUAUGAUUAUGGCUAUUAGGUUAUUUGGGGUAAAUUUAAAAAGUAAUAUUUAUAGCAUUAAAAAUUGAACCACAUAUGUUUAAAUGAAUUAGCUCCUCUAGGGAUAACAGC
rnacentral:rRNA from 1 species